GCCCAGGUGAACCACUGAAUCUUGCAAUUAAGUUGCUUCUAAUGACUUCACAUUUGGGAACAAAAAUAAACUUUAAAAAGAGAACUAGUACAAAAAAAACAGUGUCCUUCUGACUAUUCUAACGCCCCAGAGGUCAGAUGUUGAAUUGCAGCUUUGACCAAUUUCCAUGGGAGAAUUGCACAUUUAAAAAAAUAAACUUUUCUUCAAAGCUAGUGAGGCAGAGGGAGACACCUUCAUCUCCCUCCCGCCCUUCUUAGCUCCUCCAGGGCUGGCCAUCCUGUCUGCAACGCGGAUUCUUCUGCAUUUACACAUGUGAUAUUUACAGUGAAUGAAAGCUUUAUACUCAUUAUUCAUAAUAAUAAUAUCAAGUGCCUCUUAGUUCCAGGAACUGUUUCUCUUCAUUGCCCCCCUCUUUAAGUUAACAUGCAGGGAAAGAAAGAAAGAAAAGAAAAAGAAAAAGAUUUCUACCAGAUACGAAGCUACAGUGAGAAGGGUUCUGCCAGCAGCCACGUUCCUCAGCCCAACUCAUUAAUUCUGUGCCCCUGAGUCACAGCCGCCGGACAGAGCAGAAUCUCUCCCUGGAGGCAUUUCUAUGCCAGUGAGAAGGACAGUGGCACCAAACACGCAGAGUGCACAGUCACUGGUGAAGGUGACACUCACCAGAGGUUUGUGGCCUUUGCACCUGGAAGAUCAGAGCUUCUCUCUCUGAGAUGAGCUGACACAGCAUGCCAGGCAGAGACAGCCUCGGAAGUCUGGAGGUCCUGAGACUCCCCUGGAAGGAGGACACAGAAAUGAGGUGCACUCACCCUCCUGGGGCCAGGUUGCACGCACAAGCUGGAGACUCCAACCUCACGGAGCUGCCCCUCCAGUGGAAAGAGGCAGGAGCCACACCACCCACAGGUGGAUAAGUAAUCUCGGAUAGCGCCAGGGGCUGCAAUGGAAAUUAAAAUGGAAACAGGACCAGCAGCCAUGGGGCUGGGCAGCCCAGUGUUUUUAGGCAGAGGGGUGAGGAGGCAGCCUGGGGCUGAUGCCUGGAUCUGAAGAAGGAGUGAGCUGUGUGAGAUUUAGAGAGUCAUGCCAAGUGGAGGGAACAGCAGACUCAG
rnacentral:lncRNA from 1 species